AUGCACACAUGGUUCCACAAGCACAAUGCAGUUUAUUCAAAUUCUGUAUCAUGAAAACCUUUAUCCAUGGAGUUGGCAACCCACAAACACAGCUCAAUUCUUAUACAUCUUCUAAACACAUGCAUGUGAAAGAAAGCAAAUCCGAAACAGCAGGAGACUAAAAGAAAAAGGGAGGCCAACUACCCAUCUUGCUAUUUGAAACCAACAGGAACAGUCAAUUACUUCUCCAAAUAAACAAAGAGAAGACAACUUCUCUUGAGUUUCAGCCUUUUACCCCACAAAUGAGUGCUUUUCUAAAGCAAAAGAACAACAACUUGUAGUGGUGGCAUGAUCAUGAUUGUGCUUUUCCCACUCUGUUUAAGUGUACAGCAAACUGGCUCCAAGUUUGGUCAUGGUUUCAACGGAUCAAACCGGUGAAGAGAGGCGUUUCUUUGUUGAUUGUACUCCUGGCGUCGGCGGCGCGGAGCAGGUGCACCGCCGUAGUGUGCUCUUGCUAUGCACCUUCAGGAAGCUUUAACAACAAAGGCGAAGGAAGCAAGACGAGCACCAUUUUCAGGUCACGUUCUGUUGAAGAAAAGAGAGAUGGGGUCAAGCAAAAAUGGCGUAAUAAUCAUGAGCUACAAGAUGGUAACGGAAAUGGGUCUAAUGGGAUUCAUUUAGAAAUCCCAAAUCUCAAGAGCAAUUUAAAGAAGACAAAGGAGAAGGAGGAAGAGGAGGAGACUUGUCCUACAGAAACAAGGAAAGUGAACUGGCCUGAUGCCCAUGGUAAAGAUAUUGCUCAUAUCCAAGAAUUUGAUCCAAGUGUAUCAGGAGAUGGGGAGCUUGAGGGAGUAAGAAACUCUUGUGUCUGCACGAUUCAGUAAGACAAGAAAAGAAAAGGGUAUGUUUGUUUUUAGUUUCCUCCCAUGAAUCUUUCUUUCAAUAAUGAGUGCAAUAUGCUGCAAUGACUGAAGAGUGGUGAUGACACAUAGGGUUAAGUCCUUAGGAUUCCUGAUGCAAAGACAAUCUGUAUUUCAUUUUCUUGUUCCUGCCAUCUUUUAGAACCCUCUCUAGCCUUCGAACUCCAAAGAAAAAUGUCAAUUCCUGCUCGACAAAUUUAGCUUGUAUUUACCUUUAGACAUAUCUAUAUAGUGAAGUUUUCUUUUA